rnacentral:rRNA from 1 species
UACGAAGGGGGCUAGCGUUGCUCGGAAUCACUGGGCGUAAAGGGUGCGUAGGCGGGUCUUUAAGUCAGGGGUGAAAUCCUGGAGCUCAACUCCAGAACUGCCUUUGAUACUGAAGAUCUUGAGUUCGGGAGAGGUGAGUGGAACUGCGAGUGUAGAGGUGAAAUUCGUAGAUAUCCGCAAGAACACCAGUGGCGAAGGCGGCUCACUGGCCCGAUACUGACGCUGAGGAGCGAAAGCGUGGGGAGCGAACAGG